AUGGUGCAAGCCGCACCCAGCUCCGCCACCGCCGCCCCCGCCCCCGACGCUGACCCCGCCACCCCGCCGUCCCGUCUCCUCUCGAAACAUCGCCCGCGACGCCGUGCAGCGCCCCCCCGCCCGACCUUGCCGCACCCCGCGCCCACGCGCGGCCUGCCCGAUCUGAACCGCUGCCACUGCUGCUCCGUUCGCUUCCAGCAGCCGGCGCCGGGCGCCAAGCGACGUCCACUCCGUCCCCUCCGCUCCCUCUGGCGCGUCGUCCUCCUCUGCUCUGAAUGUAUCUCCCUCCUUCGCUCUGGCGCCGUCUGCUCCUACUGCCUCAACCUCGACAACCUGCCGCACGAUGACUCGGUCACCUGCCGCAGCUGCAACUGCUGCGUCCACCACCACUGCAUCCCCGCUGAGCACCGUACUGCCCUGAUCCAGCCUGUAGAUUUGGAGAAUUUCGUCUGCAUCGAUUGCUGCCCCACAGUGAAGGUGGGUAGCAAGAAUGAGGGCGCCGAAUCCGUUCCUAAGCUGGAGUUGGUCAUCAGAGAGCCUAGUCCUGCAUUGCGGAGGAAGGGGGGGCCUGUCGCUGCUGCUAAGUUGAAUUCGCCGAGGAAGGUUGUGGAGGAGGUGAGGCCAGCUUGGAAGGAUGCGAUGGCCCUCGUUCCUGUAGGCGAGGGGUCAGAGAGCGAGGGUCCCGGCGAUCGGGACCUGCCAGACGAGGCAUUGGCGCUGCAGCUUCAUUUGGCGAUCAACGGGUCACUGAGGAUUUCACGUUCUGGCAGUGCAUCUGUGUCUGUCUUGGCAGGGCAGUGCAAGAGGCAGGCCAAGAGGCAGAAUGGAUUGGUUUACGGAAGGAAGGUUAAUGAGGAUCUGGGACUUUGUGUAACCAAUAUGAUGGAUCAUCUGGACUAUCUUGAGACCGGAGCAGAGAUGGGAAGCAACUGGAAUGCUAGUCAGGAUUUAGGAUCUGAUCCCACAGUCCCUGUGGUUCUUGCACUGGAGUGUAAAGGUAAACACCCUCAGGAGAGUCCGAGAGGUGAAAGGAAAGGUCUUCCUGAGACUAAACAACAUAAUAGUUUGGUGGAUUGGCAUAAGGUGGAUCGGUAUGAGAAGAAGUAUAGCAAGAGGAAGUCAAGUAAGCAGACAGAUGCUGAAAGCACUGGAAACAAGACCUUGCCCAAUGGAAAGGACAUGGAUGUUGGUGAAGGUGGUGAGGGCAUAACUCCUAUGACAUAG
rnacentral:rRNA from 1 species